rnacentral:rRNA from 1 species
AACGCGUGAGAAUCUGGCUUUAGGUCUGGGACAACCACUGGAAACGGUGGCUAAUACCGGAUGUGCCGAAAGGUGAAAGGUUAACUGCCUGAAGAUGAGCUCGCGUCUGAUUAGCUAGUUGGAAGUGUAAAGGACUCCCAAGGCGACGAUCAGUAGCUGGUCUGAGAGGACGAUCAGCCACACUGGGACUGAGACACGGCCCAGACUCCUACGGGAGGCAGCAGUGGGGAAUUUUCCGCAAUGGGCGAAAGCCUGACGGAGCAAUACCGCGUGAGGGAGGAAGGCUCUUGGGUCGUAAACCUCUUUUCUCAGGGAAGAAUCCAAUGACGGUACCUGAGGAAUAAGCAUCGGCUAACUCCGUGCCAGCAGCCGCGGUAAUACGGAGGAUGCAAGCGUUAUCCGGAAUGAUUGGGCGUAAAGCGUCCGCAGGUGGCGAUGUAAGUCUGCUGUUAAAGCGUCUAGCUCAACUAGAUAAAAGCNGUGGAAACUACUUACGCUAGAGUGCGUUCGGGGCAGAGGGAAUUCCUGGUGUAGCGGUGAAAUGCGUAGAGAUCAGGAAGAACACCNNUGGCGAAGGC